rnacentral:rRNA from 1 species
UACGGGGGGUGCGAGCGUUAUCCGGAUUCACUGGGUUUAAAGGGUGCGUAGGCGGACAGGUAAGUCAGUGGUGAAAUCUCCGGGCUUAACCCGGAACUGCCGUUGAUACUAUUUGUCUUGAAUAUUGUGGAGGUAAGCGGAAUAUGUCAUGUAGCGGUGAAAUGCUUAGAUAUGACAUAGAACACCAAUUGCGAAGGCAGCUUACUA